AGUGAACGCUGGCGGUAGGCCUAACACAUGCAAGUAGAACGGCAGCACAGUAAGAGCUUGCUCUUACGGGUGGCGAGUGGCGGACGGGUGAGGAAUACAUCGGAAUCUACUUUUUCGUGGGGGAUAACGUAGGGAAACUUACGCUAAUACCGCAUACGACCUACGGGUGAAAGCAGGGGAUCUUCGGACCUUGCGCGAUUGAAUGAGCCGAUGUCGGAUUAGCUAGUUGGCGGGGUAAAGGCCCACCAAGGCGACGAUCCGUAGCUGGUCUGAGAGGAUGAUCAGCCACACUGGAACUGAGACACGGUCCAGACUCCUACGGGAGGCAGCAGUGGGGAAUAUUGGACAAGGGGCGCAAGCCUGAUCCAGCCAUACCGCGUGGGUGAAGAAGGCCUUCGGGUUGUAAAGCCCUUUUGUUGGGAAAGAAAAGCAGCAGGUUAAUACCCCGCUGUUCUGACGGUACCCAAAGAAUAAGCACCGGCUAACUUCGU
rnacentral:rRNA from 1 species